rnacentral:lncRNA from 11 species
UGGUGUUGUUGAUGUUGCUGUGUACUGUUGGAGAUGAGGCUGCAAAGAAACUGAAGAAUUGGUGAAGAAAACCAGAGAGAGCCUUUUGCCAAGAAGAAAAUAUGAACUAACUGAGAGUAUCAGGAAAAGGUUUUGGAGAAGAGACAAGGUCUUCUGCUACACAUAUUUUGGAUUUUGGGCGCUAUUCCUACAUAGGAGACAGUCACACCUGCUCAUCUCCAGCAACUUUUCUACACUGAUCUCCCAGAAAGAAGACUGAUACGACAGCAAGAACAACAACAAGAGGUCACUGCACACAACCCCUUGUGCAUACUGCUCGCCUACAAGAAAAAAGAACAGAAAAUAUGGCAAACUGUGCACAGAGACUGAGCAAUGUCCAGGAAGCAAAAACAAAAGGAUGACAAAAUCCCAACACAUGUUUGCAGAGCAGUACAGACAAUCCAGCAAUUAGGAACCAGAAAAUCCGAUAUAGAAAACUAUACAUGAUCAUAAGAUUCCAUUCAUGCCCACCCAUGCCAAGAGCUGGCCAAACAGGUAAUGUUGGAUAAAAGAAAAUGCAGAUCGUUUACUAAAGCAUGCAAAAAAUCACUUGUAAUUGAGUCAUCUGCACUGUUUCACUGAUACCUGAAUUGGACUAUGCUAAAGGACAUAAAUGAUUGUGAAUAAAUACAGAGAAUAAGGAAAGGUGAAAUUUCAUUUGGU